UGGGGUGGGAUGCUUGGCUGUUAUCUCUCUUCGCGUCAAAAGGUUCAAUAUAUUCUUAAGAAAAAAUAUAUAUAUAUAAUAAAUUAGGAGAAUGUUGGGUUGAGUAACCGGGGUAGGGUGCUUGGCUGUCAUCUCUCUUUGCGUCAAAAGGUUCAAUAUAUUCUUAAGAAAAAUAAAACAAAGAUGUAUUAAUAAUAAAAUUGCAUUUAGGGACUAAAAGUGGAAACAAAUAGGGUGUCUUGGUAAGUUUAGUAAAUUAC
rnacentral:lncRNA from 1 species